rnacentral:rRNA from 1 species
GACGAACGCUGGCGGCGCGCUUAACACAUGCAAGUCGAACGGAAAGGCCUGCUUUCCCUUGUGGAUUGCGGGUACUCGAGUGGCGAACGGGUGAGUAACACGUGAGUGAUCUGCCCCCAACUUGGGUAUAAGCCUGGGAAACUGGGUCUAAUUCCCGAUAGGACUGCAGGGUGGUGCCUGUGGUGGAAAACGAUUUUCUAGUGGUUGGGGAUGAGCUCGCGGCCUAUCAGCUUGUUGGUGGGGUAAUGGCCUACCAAGGCGGCGACGGGUAGCCGGCCUGAGAGGGUGGGCGGCCACAUUGGGACUGGGAUACGGCCCAGACUCCUACGGGAGGCAGCAGUGGGGAAUAUUGCACAAUGGGCGGAAGCCUGAUGCAGCGACGCCGCGUGGGGGAUGACGGCCUUCGGGUUGUAAACUCCUUUCGACCGCGAGGAAGCCACCUGGUUGGAAGGGUGGUGACGGUAGUGGUAGAAGAAGCACCGGCUAACUACGUG